rnacentral:rRNA from 1 species
CGCCACAGCCAUAUCACCCUGCAGCCCAAGACUGGUUGCCCACUGAAGCUAAGCAGGGUUGAGCCUGGUCAGUAUCUGAAUGGGAGACCUCCUGGGAAAACUAGGUUGCUGUUGGAA